UCCGUAGGGUAACCUGCGGAGGGAUCAUUACAGAGUUAUCCAACUCCCAAACCCAUGUGAACUUAUCUCUUUGUUGCCUCGGCGCAAGCUACCCGGGACCUCGCGCCCCGGGCGGCCCGCCGGCGGACAAACCAAAACUCUUGUUAUCUUAGUUGAUUAUCUGAGUGUCUUAUUUAAUAAGUCAAAACUUUCAACAACGGAUCUCUUGGUUCUGGCAUCGAUGAAGAACGCAGCGAAAUGCGAUAAGUAAUGUGAAUUGCAGAAUUCAGUGAAUCAUCGAAUCUUUGAACGCACAUUGCGCCCAUUAGUAUUCUAGUGGGCAUGCCUGUUCGAGCGUCAUUUCAACCCCUAAGCACAGCUUAUUGUUGGGAACCUACGGCUUCGUAGUUCCUCAAAGACAUUGGCGGAGUGGCAGUGGUCCUCUGAGCGUAGUAAUCUUUUAUCUCGCUUCUGUUAGGUGCUGCCCCCCCGGCCGUAAAACCCCCAAUUUUUUCUGGUUGACCUCGGAUCAGGUAGGAAUACCCGCUGAACUUAAGCAUAUCAAUAAGCGGAGGA
rnacentral:rRNA from 1 species